rnacentral:rRNA from 1 species
UACGUAGGGUGCGAGCGUUAAUCGGAAUUACUGGGCGUAAAGCGUGCGCAGGCGGUCUGUUAAGACCGAUGUGAAAUCCCCGGGCUUAACCUGGGAACUGCAUUGGUGACUGGCAGGCUUUGAGUGUGGCAGAGGGAGGUAGAAUUCCACGUGUAGCAGUGAAAUGCGUAGAGAUGUGGAGGAACACCGAUGCGAAGGCAGCCCCCCUGGGCUAACACUGACGCUCAUUGCACGAAAGC